CAGCAGCCGCCGCGGUAAUACAGAGGGUGCGAGCGUUAAUCGGAUUUACUGGGCGUAAAGCGUGCGUAGGCGGCUUCUUAAGUCGGAUGUGAAAUCCCUGAGCUUAACUUAGGAAUUGCAUUCGAUACUGGGAAGCUAGAGUAUGGGAGAGGAUGGUAGAAUUCCAGGUGUAGCGGUGAAAUGCGUAGAGAUCUGGAGGAAUACCGAUGGCGAAGGCAGCCAUCUGGCCUAAUACUGACGCUGAGGUACGAAAGCAUGGGGAGCAAACAGGAUUAGAGACCCCAGUAGUCCCUGUCUCUUAUAC
rnacentral:rRNA from 1 species